rnacentral:rRNA from 1 species
AUGAUACAAGCGAGAGUUGGCCUACGCCGCCAACUGAUCUGCGGCAGCGUGGAAGGAGUGUUCAAAAGCAGCAUGAGCAGUUGUUCUACUGCUGGUCGGAGGGAGAGCUUGGCAAGGGAGAUAGAGGGAGCUCUACAACCACGAUAUUGGCAUACAACCCGAUGGCAUCGUGCCCACGUUGGUGUUCAUGUACAGGUUGCCAUAUGA